NNNNNNNNNNNNNNNNNNNNNNNNNNNNNNNNNNNNGGAACACCCCAAAUUCCAACUGGAACAACCAAAUUCCAACAGGAACACCCCAAAUUCCAACAGGAACACCCCGAAUUCCAACUGGAACACCCAAAAUUCCAACAGGAACACCCUAAAUUCCAACUGGAACAACCAAAUUCCAAUGGGAACACCCCGAAUUCCAACGGGAACACCCCAAAUUCCAACUGGAACACCCCAAAUUCCAACAGGAACACCCCAAAUUCCAACUGGAACACCCAAAUUCCAACGGGAACACCACAAAUUCCAACAGGAACACCCCAAAUUCCUACUGCAACAUCCCAAAUUUCAACUGGAACACCCCAAACCCCCCCAGGAACACCCGAAAUUCCCGGAAUUCCCAGAAUUCCCGUUAUUCCCGAGGAUACAGGACGAUGCCGGCCAGCAGCCAGCAGUCGUGGCGCCGGUGCCACCGCGCUGUCACCGUCCCCAGCCCUGGGCACACCCCAAACCCCACUGGGAACACCCCAAACCCCCCAGGAACACCCGGAAUUCCCAGAAUUCCCGGAAUUCCCGAGGAUACAGGACGAUGCCGGCCAGCAGCCAGCAGUCGUGGCACCAAGGCCACCGCGCUGUCACCGUCCCCAGCCCUGGGGACACCCUAAACCCCCCUAGAAACACCCCAAAACCCACUGGGGACACCCCAAACCCCACUGGGGACACCCCAAACCCCACUGGGGACACCCGAAAUUCCCGGAAUUCCCAGAAUUCCCGUUUUUCCCGAGGAUACAGGACGAUGCCGGCCAGCAGCCAGCAGUCGUGGCGCCGGUGCCACCGCGCUGUCACCGUCCCCAGCCCUGGGGACACCCCAAACCCCACUGGGGACACCCCAACACCCCCAGGAACACCCGGAAUUCCCAGAAUUCCUGGAAUUCCUGAGGAUACAGGACGAUGCCGGCCAGCAGCCAGCAGUUGUGGCACCGGUGCCACCGCGCUGUCACCGUCCCCAGCCCUGAGGACACCCCAAACCCCACUGGGAACACCCCAGACCCCACUGGGAACACCCAAAAUUCCCAGAAUUCCCGUUUUUCCCGAGGAUACAGGACGAUGCCGGCCAGCAGCCAGUAGUCGUGGCGCCGGUGCCAGAUCUCGUUGAGUUUCCCC
rnacentral:lncRNA from 1 species